rnacentral:rRNA from 1 species
CCUUCUGUGCCGCAGUUAACGCAAUAAGUACCCCGCCUGGGGAGUACGACCGCAAGGUUGAAACUCAAAGGAAUUGACGGGGGCCCGCACAAGCGGUGGAGUAUGUGGUUUAAUUCGACGCAACGCGAAGAACCUUACCAGGUCUUGACAUUGAUGGACAGAACUAGAGAUAGUUCCUCUUCUUCGGAAGCCAGAAAACAGGUGGUGCACGGUUGUCGUCAGCUCGUGUCGUGAGAUGUUGGGUUAAGUCCCGCAACGAGCGCAACCCCUAUCUUAUGUUGCCAGCACGUAAUGGUGGGAACUCAUGAGAGACUGCCGCAGACAAUGCGGAGGAAGGCGGGGAUGACGUCAAAUCAUCAUGCCCCUUAUGACCUGGGCUACACACGUACUACAAUGGGCUUUAAUAAAGGGAAGCGAAGUCGCGAGGCGGAGCAAACCCCAGAAACAAGCUCUCAGUUCGGAUCGUAGGCUGCAACUCGCCUGCAUGAAGCAGGAAUCGCUAGUAAUCGCAGGUCAGCAUACUGCGGUGAAUACGUUCCCGGGCCUUGUACACACCGCCCGUCACACCACGAAAGUCGGAAGUGCCCAAAGCCGGUGGGGUAACCUUCGGGAGCCAGCCGUCUAAGGUAAAGUCGAUGAUUGGGGUGAAGGCGUAACAAGGUAGAGCUCUCAGUCAGUCAA